CAGCUCAGCCACUGGGUUCCAAGAGGCAGUGUCAUGUUUGCAAAUGCAGAAGAACGGCAGAUCUCCUAAGGUCCGGAUUCCAUUGGUCAGAACAGAUCACAAGUCCAGCCCAGGUUCAAGAGGAAGUGACUCCACCUCCUGGUGGCAGGACUAGCAAAGGAUUUGCAGCCGCCUUUAAUCCACCAGAGUGUUCUGAUGCCAGAAAACCCUCCUGUCUUCCGUUGUGCAAAGUCUCUCUCCACAUGAAGAGGCCCAGAGGCCCGGGACCUUGGAUCCCUAGCCUUACUUGGAAUGGCCAUGGGGCUAGAGACCUACACAUCUUUGUUGAUAUUAGACGUGAGGGACAGGGAAGUUAAGUGCGUUGCCCAGUGUCACACAACAGAAGCCACUAGGCUGGUGGUGAUCACUGACAGCUGGGCUAGGUGCUGGGGCUCAGCGGUGCUUGAUGAAUGAAUGAAUUGGAAGUCCUUGUUCUGUACGGAUUGUUUUUAAGAGAGUUUAUUCUUUUAGAAGCGGUUUUAGGUUCACAACAAAAUUGACCGAAAGGCACAGAGAUUCCAUUUAUACCCCCGUCCCCACAUGUGGAUAGCCUUCCCCAUAUCCACAUUCCCCACCAGAGUGGUACAUUUGUUAUAAUUGAUGAGCCUAUAUUAAUGCAUCGUUAUUACCCAAA